GAUGAACGCUGGCGGCGUGCCUAAUACAUGCAAGUCGAGCGAACAGACGAGGAGCUUGCUCCUCUGACGUUAGCGGCGGACGGGUGAGUAACACGUGGAUAACCUACCUAUAAGACUGGGAUAACUUCGGGAAACCGGAGCUAAUACCGGAUAAUAUAUUGAACCGCAUGGUUCAAUAGUGAAAGACGGUUUUGCUGUCACUUAUAGAUGGAUCCGCGCCGCAUUAGCUAGUUGGUAAGGUAACGGCUUACCAAGGCAACGAUGCGUAGCCGACCUGAGAGGGUGGUCGGCCACACUGGAACUGAGACACGGUCCAGACUCCUACGGGAGGCAGCAGUAGGGAAUCUUCCGCAAUGGGCGAAAGCCUGACGGAGCAACGCCGCGUGAGUGAUGAAGGUCUUCGGAUCGUAAAACUCUGUUAUUAGGGAAGAACAAAUGUGUAAGUAACUAUGCACGUCUUGACGGUACCUAAUCAGAAGGCCACGGCUAACUACGUG
rnacentral:rRNA from 1 species